CUCAGGGAUGGGCCACAAUGGCGCAGCCACUCUUCCUUCAGACUCUUGAACAGCCUGAUCUUUUACAAAGAAUGGUGACUUCACUGUCCGGACUCCAGAGAGAGAGGACACCAUCUGCCUUCUCUUCCACAUUCUCUCUAGGUUAUGCCGACUCUGGUGUGUUCUUACUUGCACGUUUGCGUUCCAGGACUUGCUGCAGUGUAGUCUCCUUUUUUUCUGAAGAAAAGACUGAGGUUCAACGGACUCAGCUCAUUAGAGCCUGGCAAAGAGCAAUGAAAAAUUCUAAGCAGGAACUAAGAAAGAAAGAGGGGACUAUACAGCACAGCUUUCCGGAUACCCAGCCACGCCUCUCUCUGCAUCCCUCCCCAAAGCGUCUCCUCUGCUCCCCCUUCCCUGUUUUCCUUUAACUCAUUUGAGGGAUCGUAAUAAAGACUGUGUGCAGC
rnacentral:lncRNA from 1 species